AUUGAACGCUGGCGGCAGGCCUAACACAUGCAAGUCGAACGGUAACAGGAAGACGCUUGCUUCUUUGCUGACGAGUGGCGGACGGGUGAGUAAUGUCUGGGAAACUGCCUGAUGGAGGGGGAUAACUACUGGAAACGGUAGCUAAUACCGCAUAACGUCGCAAGACCAAAGAGGGGGACCUUCGGGCCUCUUGCCAUCGGAUGUGCCCAGAUGGGAUUAGCUAGUAGGUGGGGUAACGGCUCACCUAGGCGACGAUCCCUAGCUGGUCUGAGAGGAUGACCAGCCACACUGGAACUGAGACACGGUCCAGACUCCUGCGGGAGGCAGCAGUGGGGAAUAUUGCACAAUGGGCGCAAGCCUGAUGCAGCCAUGCCGCGUGUAUGAAGAAGGCCUUCGGGUUGUAAAGUACUUUCAGCGGGGAGGAAGGGAGUAAAGUUAAUACCUUUGCUCAUUGACGUUACCCGCAGAAGAAGCACCGGCUAACUCCGUG
rnacentral:rRNA from 1 species